AUAAAAGAAUUGUUUAUCCUCUCCUCUUCUCCUCUUGUAUACAAAACACAACUAGAUCAAUAAACUUUUGUGUGAAGUUCUCUCUCUCCUUAGAAACUCUCUUGUGUGUGUUUGUAUUACUUAUUACUACUCUUAUGUCUUUCUAAACAUUUUCAACACAUUAUCAACAUGACUCUCUUCUAUACACUAUUAUUAUUAUUAUUAUUAUUAUUAUUAUUUUACUCUAGUCUUAACUCUUCAAACCUAUUGCUAUUCUUCCUCCUUGUGUGACACAUGAUCUUGCUACACUUUUUGCUGGCCCUUC
rnacentral:lncRNA from 1 species